rnacentral:rRNA from 1 species
AUUGAACGCUGGCGGCAUGCCUUACACAUGCAAGUCGAACGGCAGCACGGGGGCAACCCUGGUGGCGAGUGGCGAACGGGUGAGUAAUACAUCGGAACGUGUCCUGUCGUGGGGGAUAACUAGUCGAAAGAUUAGCUAAUACCGCAUGAGAUCGAGAGAUGAAAGCAGGGGACCGCAAGGCCUUGCGCGAUUGGAGCGGCCGAUGUCGGAUUAGCAGUUGGCGGGGUAAAGGCCCACCAAGGCGACGAUCCGUAGCUGGUUUGAGAGAACGACCAGCCACACUGGGACUGAGACACGGCCCAGACUCCUACGGGAGGCAGCAGUGGGGAAUUUUGGACAAUGGACGCAAGUCUGAUCCAGCCAUUCCGCGUGCAGGAUGAAGGCCCUCGGGUUUGUAAACUGCUUUUGGUACGGAACGAAAGCCGCUCUCUAAUACAGGGCGGUCAUGAC